rnacentral:rRNA from 1 species
UAGCAAUACUUUGGUGGCGACCGGCGCACGGGUGCGUAACGCGUAUGCAACCUACCUUUAACAGGGGCAUAACACUGAGAAAUUGGUACUAAUUCCCCAUAACAUUCGAGAAGGCAUCUUCUUGGGUUAAAAACUCCGGUGGUUAAAGAUGGGCAUGCGUUGUAUUAGCUAGUUGGUGAGGUAACGGCUCACCAAGGCAACGAUACAUAGGGGGACUGAGACGGUUAACCCCCCACAUUGGUACUGAGACACGGACCAAACUCCUACGGAAGGCAGCAG